UGUCUUUUAGAAUUAAAUUUAAAGUCUGACCUGCCCACUGAAUAAAUUAAAUGGCCGCAGUAUAUUAACUGUGCAAAGGUAGCAUAAUCAUUAGUCUUUUAAUUGGAGGCUUGUAUGAAUGGUUGGACGUGGUGUAAACUGUUUCUUAAAAAUUUAAUUAGAAUUUUAUUACUUAGUUAGAAAGCUGAGAUGAUAUUGAAAGACGAGAAGACCCUAUAGAGCUUUAUUUUUUUCAAAUUUUUGAUUGUAAAGAAUUUUUUAAUCAUUAAUUUGAGUAAAAUUUUGUUGGGGUGACAUUAAGAUUUAAUUAACUCUUAAUUAUAGUUUUACAUUGAUUUAUGAAUAAUUGAUCCAUUAAUAGUGAUUAGGAAGUUAAGUUACCUUAGGGAUAACAGCGUAAUUUUUUUAGAGAGUUCAUAUCGAUAAAAAGGAUUGCGACCUCGAUGUUGGAUUAAGAGAUAAUCCUGGGCGCAGCCGCUUGGGGGAUAAGUCUGUUCGACUUUUAAAAUCUUACAUG
rnacentral:rRNA from 1 species